rnacentral:tRNA from 1 species
GAUUCUUUAGUAUAAAAAGUAUAAUUGAUUUCCAAUCAAUUGGUUUUAGGAGUUA